CUCGGUUAAUGUUCCUUCUUCGCAAUUGUUCAACAAGGUAAAGCAGACGUUAUUAGAAGUUGUGUCAGAGUUCGAAUAAAAGCUAGAGAAUCAGCAACAAUUUACCUGAGUCAAGUGUCUUCAAAUCAGUAAUUACUUAUCAGGUCGAAUUGUAGACGACUGGUACAACACGAGAAAGAGAACGGCAGACCACGUCACGGGCACGCCCUUUUCCGGCAUCGACAAAGGAAGGAACAAUUUAGUUCGUGUUUUCAUCAUUUGUCGGAACUCUGUCUGAGAAUUCGAACAAAAAGUAAAAGGAAAAAGGGAAACUGAAACAAGAUAAAAGGCUGCCAUCAACUCCUCAGUGUUGCUAAACAAAAUGUGACGUAACUUUGCAUCAGGAAAAAACGUAAUUUUAAAAUGCCGAAAUUCGUUAAUUUUUUUCGUCACUUCAGUUUUUCACCGUGUUCUACAUAAUUACUAGGAACUUUGUGCUGACAUUGGGAGUGGGUCUGGAAGGCCGACAGUUUCCCGAAAAAUCAUAAAAAGCGCGUCCUUGAAAUUUGUACACGCGUUUCUUUUUCUAAAUAUUUUGACUGGUAGAUGUGUCGCCAGUGUGGUCGAGACUCGGGACAGGAUAAGAGCAGUGUCUAAUUACAGUCGUCCUUCGAGUUGUUUGUCAGUGCUUUUUUAGUAGCUGGGAUAACCAAGAAGCAGGAAUUUUUUUUUUAAAUGAUUGGCUUGAAGCAGAAUUUCAACAAAUUUCGAGCGCAGUUAUAAAGCGACUAAUGCAAAAGAGGGACGCAGGGGCCCCGAUCAGACGGUGGCUAGUCCUCGGCAACACAACAUUGGAAUUUGCCGAAAUCUUUAUUAAAAUUCACCUUUUUUUAUUCUAGAUGUUGUAUUGUAGGGGUUUUCGCAUCGUAAGCUUUUCCAACCUUCGGGCCGUUCAAUAGCAACUGGAAAAACAUGGACGUGGCAAAUGUAUGGAGGGACCAAGGAGACGAGCGUGUCCCGGUAAAUGUGAAGAAAAUCGUUUCUGCUCUUGGCGCCGUAAAUUUGCCCAACUUGAAAUCCAUAAAUUCUUGUGAUGUUGACUCGUUCAACUUCGAACAGGAUCGACGGGUCUUCUUGCCCCCAAAGCGAGUGGUUUCAACUUCCUCAUUCAACUGUUUUGCAUUUUUACGAUUAAGGCGAAAGCCAUUCUGUAAUGGGAAAAUUUAAUUAAACGUCUCACGAUAUUUCACGGUCACGUUUUUUUUUAGCCGUUUCGUCCAGAAUACCCCAAAACGACACGUCUAGUUCCAACCCUUUUCCACAUAAACUACUCCCGUGAACGCUUUUAAGGGAUUUUUAAAAUGGCAAAAAAAAAGGUUCACCCUUUAGAAAUUUGAACGCAAAUUUUCCCCAUGUUACGGCGUCAAUUCAAGUCAAGUAUUUUAGACGCAAAUUGCAAUAAAAACAACACAAAAAACAACAACAAAAAACGAAAAAGAAGGUUGUGAAAUAAAGGGUGUCUAGACCUUCUUGGUGAACCAAGUUGGAAUAAAGCUUUCACUCGCCCCAUUUCGAGAUUCACUCGCGGCUUCUAUUCUGAAAAGAAAAGAGAGAAAAGAAGAUGAGCAUGAACGGGUAACUUGCGUUUUUCUAAGAGACGAUUGACAUACGCACACGAAGAUUCGAAUGUUAUUUAUAAGGAAGCAAAACAACUGGUUGGAACUGUCCAGUUCAUUGAAGGCUUUCUAUUUUCCAAUUUUUUGGACUUGAUGUACAAAAAACGCAACGAUGUGACAGUUGAUAAUCUAUACUGUUCCAUCGAAAAUACGCCCGACUAUAAAAUUGACAGCUGAGCAAAGUGCAAUUCAAAGAGAAACAACCGACUAGGUCGUAAAAAAAGCUGCGUCUUUCCACUUUUAUCAUUUCAGGAGAUAGGAUUCAUUUUCUACAUGGCAAUUUAAAAGGCCGCCAAAUCUUUUCAGUUUGUUGUUCGCGGAAUUUCUAGACCACUCAAGUCAUUAAAUAAGCGAAACCCAUAAAAUUCAAGAUCCUGGAGCUAAAGUUGGACCUUAUGUACAACAUGUUACCACUGCCUCAUAAAAAAAGGUGGAUGCGAUGAGCGACGGGAUCCAUUGCAAGAAGAGCCGAGAUUACAUUUAUCCGCAUUUAUCUCAAAUACAAAAACAAAAAAACAACAUUUGAUGUUUGGCCAUGUUUAAGGUUACAACCCUAUGAACGAAAAGUCUGAAGCCCCAGAAAUUUUAUCAUCUGGUUUUCUUCAACGUUCAGUUUCCUGUCUAAACAAAUACAUCACACACGAAUCCAAGCAAACACGAGCCAUUCGCAUUGAACGUCCUUAAAAGUGCGAUGCAAAUAGGCGGUACAUUUUGUUUCCAGGAAGAGCUCGACCGGGAGCGAACGCCACCUAGCGGAGCCCAUUGUCGCGUUUGCUACUGCGCCGCCGAGGAUUCGAAGAAAAGUCAUAAACACGUUGGAUGCGAGGAUAGGAAUGAAAACAACCGCGGGAGUGGACGCGCCAACGUGGCACCGAUGUAAAAUGGGACAGAAUGGCGCCAAAGCUUCUCGUUGCAAAGGCAACGCCCACAGUGUGUCGCCAGUAAGAAUCAAUAGGGGAAAGAACUCAUUCUGUGCGAACAACUACUGCUAAUGAACUUCAAUAUGUUGAAGUUGAGAGUGCAGUCUGGGUAAUGCCGCGGAUGAAACCAAUCUUUUUCAAAUGCGCCGCUGGAUGAGCCUGGACGCCAAGUGAAAGCAACUCCACACAAUUAUCGACUCAAAUCCUCUUCAUCAAUUGAAUUUUACAUUCGGUUUUCAACUGAGGCAGCAAAUACUACUGUCCGCCACCGCUAAAACAGAGACUGCCAUUUUGUCCAUCGUUCCCAGAGACAUCCGGCCAGUGUACAGGUAACGGAGCUGCACCUCUUGGAACACGUCAGGAUCGACGUCUGUCUUGGAUAUCUACGAUGUUCGAAAACUUAUUUUUUUUUCUUUUCUUUUGGACCGUUUGGAACUUUUGCUGCUUCACUGUCAAUACAUAUAGAGUGGAAUAGAUACGCUUGUACGAUCAAGAAAUUUAUUUCGUAAUUUAUUAGAUACAUUUGUUCUGUGUGGCACUCGCUUCGAUUAGGCGAUUCGAGUCCAGCAACUCAGAUGCUCGCAGCUAGUUUAUUUAUGGUCGAGCUGCUUGCGGUCGUCUCCGGCGCGUUAGAACUGCCGGCCGUGAUGUUUUCAUUAGCUAACGCGUCUAGACUCAGUUGUUUGUAAUGGAUAGCACGAUGAAAUAGGCGGCCCACGUUGAGUCCACAAAUUACUUUGCAAUCAAAUAAGGGCAUUCACGACACGCUGUUGCAGCUUUUCGGAGCAGUUGAAAAACAAAGUGCUUUACCACGUUGUAAUCGAAUGAUUGCGAUGGUGGUCGAUCGCGAUAAAAACACGGGGGGAUAAGAGCACGUUGUGAAAAAUGGCAGUGUGAGCUGAAUUCAUUCGAACUGAAUGAAGUUUUGAAUUUUUUCCGUUAGAUAAAAUUGUGAUUCACUGCCACACAAUUCAAACAAUUCUUUUUCUUUUCCAGCAAUCUAAAGUGUAUGAAUUGAAAUUCGUAAAGAUUAUUGCUCGAGUUGCGUGAAAUUGGUUUAACCUUCUCCUUGGUGGCCUUUAGUUGAUUAACGACUUGAGACGAUGUCAUCCUUUUGUCAGGGUCGUUUUCCAACAUUUUUUUUCAAUAGAUCAUUCUCGUAACUGUCGCGUAAUUUGCCAUCAAUUUCUAAAAUUAAGUCACGAUCUAUUAGUUCACAAAAAACAGCAAAAGGAUUCUUGUCUAUACGAGGUAUUACUUUGCAUGUUGAUGGGAUUUCCUUCAAUUAUGUUUUGGGGAAUUUCAUUUUCAUUUUCCAUGGAACCGUAGAGAUGUUCGCCGUUCAAGAAUAGACUUCCAAAAACGAUUCCUUGUGCAAAGAUGUCGCUAUUGUCGUUCUCUUUGAAAUGGUUUUCUUUUACGUUGCUGUUUAGUUUAAGCGACAGCAACUCAGGAGCUAACCACGCGUUAUUUCCCCCGACUUGAUUUGUUUUCCCUUUUCCUCGUUCACUAACGUUUCUGGUCAGUCCAAUGUUUGCCCAUUUGAGAUUUGUCUCAUCUUUGCCCCCAGAUCCCACCGAGAUCAGGACAAUUUUUGGUUUGAUGUCUCCGUGAAUGAAAUUAAGUGAAUGGAUGUAUUCAAGACCAGAAGCGAAUUGAAGCGAAGCAUCGAUAUGAUGUGGCAUCGGUCCGUUGUAUUUUUUGGGAUCCCUCGGGUCUAGGAACAGCUGAUCUAAAGAAGCGACACACGGUUCCAAUUCAUAAUAGCUGGUAACGUGAUAAUGAAAACAAAAUCAAAUCAUUUUUUAUGUCGAAUUGCCAAUUAAAAGAAUAAGAAAUAUCUUACAUGUAGUCGUCGACACUUCAGGAACUCUAGUGUUUUGUAAUAAACAUCGCGAUCCUCUAACGAAAGCACUAACUCUGACAACUUAAACUUGAAAACGGACAUUUCUUUCUUUUGAUACACUAGCAGACUGCAGUAAAAGACAAACAACUGCUAAGUUCAUAGGCUCAAUCUAGCCAAGUCUGCAGCAUGUUUCGGCUAUCCUCCGCGACGGUGCGCACUAGUCGACUAGCCGCACGACUUUUGGCUAAGCGGAUACGAAGCAAGUCGAAAGUGGUCUAUAACACAAGAAAAAGAACGAUAACCAACACGACAAUAUUCGGCAGUAUCGAAAGAAGGAAAAAGAAUCCAAUGAUUUUGUUUUUGAAACACAAAUCUCUACUUUAGCUAUAGUUUCCGUCCAAUAUCUCGCGAUGAAAGAAGCGAAGAGAAUGCAAAUUAAUGCCACAAAUUCCUGUUGGAAUUUUUCUUUUCUUCUUGUUGCCAUGUAAACUAGCAAGGAUGUUGAUGAUAACUUGACUGUCGGGCAGAGUUGCCACUUCCCGGGAUUUUUCCCCAACUCCCACGAGGAACGUGCAAACUACGCAUUAGAGCCAGACCACAUCCAAGAAGUGAGGCGUGCACGGAGCGGUGAUCACAAUUUCGUUAGCAAUUGACGAAGUGUCUUGUAGAAUUUCCGCGAAAUUAAAAGUGCUGUUAUUGUGUUUUGUAGUUUGGUAUGGCUCAGCAAAAUCAACCUGACAACAAUCUCGGUGGAUUUGCCAAACAUGGCCAAGAUUAAUAUUUGUAAAGCUCAUGUAGAAAACAAAACUUUGCAAUUUGUUUUAGGUUAGAUAAGCAUUUUGGGCUAUUCCGACCAGACUAUAAGAUUUAAUUUACUGGUCAGGUUUAUCAGCAGGGAAAAGUGUUUCUUACACAACGAUUCGAGAUCAACGGCCAAUAAUGAAGAGCUUUCGAUCCUAUGAAUAAUUAUGACAUUUUCCAUUUACCAUCAUUGGCUCUAUGAUAUAAAUAAAAAGUCUCGAUUUCCUUUGCUUUGUUUUUAUUAAUUUAAAAAUUUUUCUUGGUUAUUUUUGGAUGUGAAAUAUUUCCAUUUUUGGUUAUAUAAAUCAUAUUCGUUAUCGUCGUAUUACCAUGUGCUUAUCUACAUGUAGUCAUCAACGAAUAUGCGCCACUGCUCGUAUCGAUGAUCAAGUAUCCCCCCCCCCUUUUUUUUUUCUAUUUGUAUGUUUUUUUUUGUUUUUUUUACUGCUCCCCUAAGCAGGAGACGUUUCUUCUAUUUUAAAUUCAUGAUCUAACCUUCUGUUAAUUCCGUCAAUUGCCUUUCGACAAAAUGAACUGAAUAAACCAGGUUAAUUAUUUCUUAUGUAA